rnacentral:piRNA from 1 species
UNUAAGAUGGCUGUCACCCAAGAUGGAGC